rnacentral:rRNA from 1 species
GACGAACGCUGGCGGCAUGCCUAAUACAUGCAAGUCGAACGCAGUGGGGACGGGUGAGUAACACGUGGGUAACCUCCCAUCAGAGGGGAUAACACUUGGAAACAGGUGCUAAACCGAUAUGGGUGGAUGGACCCGCGGGGCAUUAGCUAGUUGGUGGGGUAACGGCUUACCAAGGCCACGAUGCAUAGCCGGCCUGAGAGUGUGAUCGGCCACACUGGAACUGAGACACGGCCCAGACUCCUACGGGAGGCAGCAGUAGGGAAUCUUCGGCAAUGGACGAAAGUCUGACCGAGCAACGCCGCGUGAGUGAAGAAGGUUUUCGGAUCGUAAAGCUCUGUUGGUAGAGAAGCGGUAUCUAACCAGGAAGCCACGGCUAACUACGUGCCAGCAGCCGCGGUAAGAC